rnacentral:tRNA from 1 species
UCCCUGGUGGUCCAGCGGCUAAGACUCUAUGCUUCCAAUGCAGGGGGCCCUGGUUCGAUCCCUGGCCAGGGAA